rnacentral:rRNA from 1 species
AUACGUAGGGGGCGAGCGUUGUCCGGAAUGAUUGGGCGUAAAGGGCGCGUAGGCGGCCCGGUAAGUCUGGAGUGAAAGUCCUGUUUUUAAGAUGGGAAUUGCUUUGGAUACUGUCGGGCUUGAGUGCAGGAGAGGUAAGUGGAAUUCCCAGUGUAGCGGUGAAAUGCGUAGAGAUUGGGAGGAACACCAGUGGCCAAGGCGACUUACUGGACUGUAACUGACGCUGAGGCGCGAAAGUGUGGGGAGCAAACAGGAUUAGAUACCCUGGUAGUCCACACUGUAAACGAUGAAUGCUAGGUGUAGGGGGUAUCGACCCCUUCUGUGCCGCAGUCAACACAAUAAGCAUUCCGCCUGGGGAGUACGGCCGCAAGGUUGAAACUCAAAUGAAUUGACGGGG